GAUGAACGCUGGCGGCGUGCCUAAUACAUGCAAGUCGAGCGAACAGACGAGGAGCUUGCUCCUCUGACGUUAGCGGCGGACGGGCGAGUAACACGUGGAUAACCUACCUCUAAUACUGGGAUAACUUCGGGAAACCGGAGCUAAUACCGGAUAAUAUAUUGAACCGCAUGGUUCAAUAGUGAAAGACGGUUUUGCUGUCACUUAUAGAUGGAUCCGCGCCGCAUUAGCUAGUUGGUAAGGUAACGGCUUACCAAGGCAACGAUGCGUAGCCGACCUGAGAGGGUGAUCGGCCACACUGGAACUGAGACACGGUCCAGACUCCUACGGGAGGCAGCAGUAGGGAAUCUUCCGCAAUGGGCGAAAGCUUGACGGAGCAACGCCGCGUGAGUGAUGAAGGUCUUCGGAUCGUAAAACUCUGUUAUUAGGGAAGAACAAAUGUGUAAGUAACUAUGCACGUCUUGACGGUACCUAAUCAGAAAGCCACGGCUAACUACGUG
rnacentral:rRNA from 1 species